AAGUGUUUUAUUGAUGCCAGUGGAAUGAACGUCGCUAUUCCAUGCUGAAAUGCCCUUUAUUCUUCCUCAAUGUAGCUAAUUUUUCAGGGCACAACUCUCAGGAGAACACCUAGUGACGUCAAUUCUUCAGAGGAGAAUUUCCUCCACCAGAAGGUGUCAAAGAGCAAGAUGUGCUGAAGGACUACAUAUACUUCCAAAGUCACUAAGUACCUGUCCAUAGACAGAGCAUCCAUAUUUUCAGAUUGAACAUGACAUAAGAAGAAUAAAAAUGAGUAUUGGGUCAUAUAUCUGAGAUGUACACCGUGAGCAAUAACAGAAGACAGAGCCCAAGCAGGAGUACUCUGAUGUCCCAUAAUCCAGAAGACCAAAGCAAUGAUAAAGCUUCUGGGCCAUACAAAAUCAGGGGAUGGCCUGAUUUGGCACGUGGAUUAUAAUUUGCCACCCCCUGAUUGAAAGUAUUGUGAGCAAGUCUCCAUUGACAGAAUGAAAGCAGGAUGAGAUGAAGGUAAGAUGCUUGAUAUCACCGUGUGUAAGGAAAAAUAGGAAUCGACGUACACACUUAGUUUGGAAUUCAACAUUCAGGGGUGCCUGGAUGGCUCAGUUGGUUAAGCAUCUGCCUUCAUCUCAGGUCAUGAUCCCAGGGUCCUGGCAUCGAGCCCUGCUUCUGGUUCCUUGCUCAGUGGGGAACCGGCUUCUCCCUCUCCCUCUGUGACUUCCUCAUUUGUGCUCUCUCACUUUCCCUGUCAAAUAAAUAAAUAAAACCUUUACUUAAAACAAAAAACAAAAAACAAAACCAGAAUUGAGCAUUAAUUGCUGCAAGGGGCUUUGGUGGUAUGGUACUGGGUGAGGAAGAGGCAGAAAGCAGUGUUUCUGACCAGCUCCAGGGUGCAUGGAGGCUGGGCUGACUUGGCCUGCAAGAGAACUCAGGUUAAAGCUCUUUCAAUGCACCUCUGUCUUGUCUUUUUAAAAUUUGCUCUGAGCUCAUGCUGAGGAGUGGAUGGGAUUUUGAAUACUUUCAGCCUCAUCAUUUUCCAACUUCCCUGUCCACUUUGGCAAUAUAAUUUUUAGUCACGGAUGACUCAAAACACGAAGAUCAAUUACCAGGUCUCACCUCCAUGGAUUCUGACUCUGGUGGGAUGGGGGCCUAUGAAAUCUGCAUUUUUAACAAAUCAUCCAGAGUGUUUUGAUGGGUCUUACAGCUGGUGGGCAAAAUACUGAUUACUGUCUUUUCUAAUCCAAGUUUGGCUUUUGUCUUUUCUUAGACCAUUUUUCAUCUGCAGUUCCUUCUCAUUUCCUAGUCUUAAACACUCAGCUGUGGCUUGGGUCUGGCCUCUCUUGGGGGGACAGCUUAUGGAACAGAGGUUCAAUGUGUCCUUAUCCUCCACUGCAGCCAAAGUAAUCUUUUCAGAAUUCCAUAGCGGCCCAUGUUGAUACCUUGCUAAAUCCUCCUUUGCUUUUCCUUUGCAUUUGGAAUCAAGGUAAACUCCUCAACAAGGCCUGCUUAGUUUGUUUCCUCCAGCCCUCUACAUUUUCAUCCUAACCUCCAUCCCAGUUGUGCUGGCUCCCUUUUCCUCCCAUGUCCUCUUCAUGCCUCUUCCUACUGCAGGGCCUUUGUACUUUGCCUGUUCCACUGUGCCUUCUCCUGCUCUUGGUUGAUAUCUACAUGGGCUUUAUUUCACUUUAUUAUUAUUUUUGUUACAUAUUUAUUAACUUUUUCUUUUAAUUUCUUUUCAGUGUUCCAGAAUUCAUUGUUUAUACACCACACCCAAGUGACAUUUCCUCAUGAAAGCUCUUUCUGACCUUGGCAACUAUAAAUGUGGCACUAGUCCUGGGGUCAGUUUUACACUUGGGUUUGGGGGGAGUUAUUUUGUGAUUAUUUGACAAAGGUCUGUCUCUCCCACGAGACUGCAAGCUUCAUGAGGACAAAGCUCAAGUUAAUACUUGGCUCCCAUGUGUAUCUCCCAAUGCGCAGCAUUUUUCCUGGAUCAACAGUCAUUUGUUGAGUGAAUGAACAAGUGGAUGAAUGAAUGAAUGAGAGAAAACUGUGGCUUAUGUUUUAUGCUCCAGGCAAUCUGAAAAUUUGAGUGUGUUCUGGUUCUGCAACUAUGAUACACACUAACCUUUCCAUAUGAAACCAACAGUGAGACAUCUGAGAGGACUUCAUGCCAUCCUGCUGCACCUUGAAUAUAAGGAGGUUGGUCCCCAAACCAGCAUGGUGCCAGAUUUGAUAAAAGCACAAUUGCCAAUGUCAGUGAAGGGGGCUGGGCAAUGACCCCAACCAUAGUAUGCAAAUACAGAGGAGAAUACGAGAAAAGGAGGAAGAAUUUCUUGAGAAUGAGAAUAAUAAUAAAAUGAAGGUUACCAAAUGCCAAAGAGAAGAAAGAGAAUGAGGUACCCCAAAUUUUAUGCAUCAAAUUUGUAUCACAGGUGAUAUCAAUUGGUACAUACAUUUUUGGUCAAAGUCAAGUGUAGAGCUCUGGCCACAUUCUACCAAACUGUAGAAUGGAAAAUAAAAUGACGACACGGCCUGUUAUCUGCAUGAAUGUCUGAUUCUAGAUUUUCAACUUUUGACAAAUACAUAUUUUUAUAGUUUUGAUAUGCAAACUAUUAGUAUAUGCUCU